GGACCUGUGUCGCAGUGGUUAGCGUAUUGCUCUUAUACAGUUAUGCAAUGUUUAACAUGUGUGAUAGAAAUGCAAAGGUCGUGAGUUCGAUCCUCACCUGGUCCA